CAUUAGAUGGCUGAAAAUAAGCUUUGGUCUCUUAAACCAAUUUAUAAUAGAAUAAUACCUAUUUCUAAUG
rnacentral:tRNA from 1 species